GACUUCAUUGACUGGAAGGAAUCCCUUCUGGUCAAUGAGGUGGCUGUGCCUCAUUGACCAAGAGGAAACCCUUUUGGUCAGUGAGGUACACCUACCUCACUGGCCAGAAGGGAUUCCUUCCAGUCAAUGAGUU
rnacentral:miRNA from 1 species